rnacentral:piRNA from 1 species
UCCAAAGCCUUGCCGGGGUGAGGGUCGCU